CACUGUUUCAAGGUGAUUUGUAAGCUACAUACGUUUCAGCUGGUUUUAAAUUUCAACACAAUGAUCAUGAUCAGAUUUGAGCUUCCAUUAGUCAAUGGUCGAAUAUGUGGGGAACUUGCAGUAUGGUAUCUGCUAAAUGCUGGCAUCUGGAGACAUCACAUAUGUUCAGUCUCCAGGUGAAACUCCAGCCCGCUGGCGCGAGUAAUUAUGUUGCGCCACAGGCCAGAUUUCCUCUACACCUAACUGAUGGCUGCAAGUAUAGCUCCACAAUGUGGAGAAAUCUAGGCCAGUGUUUCACAACAUUUUUUAUUUUAAUUUUUUUGUCUUAUAGCUCCACAAGCCUAUCAGUAAUGCUCAAAUGAGAUAAAAUGACACUAUACCAUCAAUUCCUUUUUUUUUUUACAAUUUGUUCUCAAUCAUAAUGUCAUGUGCCAGAACAGCGUUAUUGCUGCAUCUAUUUGAAAACUACAGUGCCAGUUUUCAUUAUGAAGCACAAGACAGGCAAUUUAAUUAAAUGUAAAUUGAUUUUAGCUGUGGGAGCCUGUGUUUCAUUUGUGUUUACUAGUAAAAUAUAGGGCCACUGGUGUUGUCAUAAUAUCAUGCAGUUUGUGCACCAUAAAGCACAUUAGUGUAAUGAGCAAGCCUUCGUUGCGCAUGGAGAACUCAUUAAAGCCUGCUGACUGCCUUCACCGUAAUGUGUGCUGCCAAUGGAGUGCCUAGAUAUGUCCUAAUGCAUUUGGAGAACUCAGAGACAACUAAUGCAUAUGGAAACACGUCUUCUCAAUUUGUUUGAUAUCCUGCAACUUUCUAGCUUUAAAUAUUAGAUAAAUAUAUGUGAUAAAGUCUGCCUCAAUACAAAUGUGAGGUUUUCAUGAACAUAACAAAACCUAUUGAAAUUAUUUUGUUAAUAAUUCACAUAGAUUCAUUAUUAUGUAUGAAAAGAAAAGGGGGAAAAAAACUGUAAAAAUGCAAUAUAUUAUGAUAAUAUGUGUACAUGUAUAAUACAGUUCCAUGAGACCAGAAGCCGUGACAGAAACAUGCCAAGUUUGUAUCUCUUUGUUUGUACAAAGGGAGUUUCCAUGCAUGGAAUGAAGAGUGGAAAUAAUUUCAGGAGAGUAGGGAGUGUGUCUAUCUGUUAUUUUGGUCGCUUGGUGUUCAUCAUUUUAUAAAUAAUACAUUCAUGUUUUCCAUUUGCAAUCAACUUUUUGUCCCAACCCAGAGAAGUUUCCAACAAUAAUAGCUACUUUGGUGCACUACAGAAGUUACUCUAUUAUAUAAUGUCAUUUUUUAAGCAUACGUUUAGGUAUUUUAGUUUCUUAAGAGACAGAUUCAAAUCAGUUUCAGAAGUGCUGGGCUGACUGGAUAUUAUGCAUAUAAUUUAGCGAGCUGUAGAGAGGCAUGUUGUUGUUAAAUUGUCUAAUGAUUGUAUGUAACCUUUGUCUGGCCUGUUGAUAAUAUGAGUGAAACAGUAUUUCCAGAAAAGGCUUUAAAUGUUCUUUCUUUCUUAGAAUUUUGUGUGCGGAUAGUAAAGUUACCAUUUAGAUGCUUUAUUGCUUUAUGGUUUUAUUAGGCUUAUUGUAUGUAAACCAUAUACAAAUGCAUAAUCCACAAUCAAGGCGUUUUUUUAAGACUUCCAUGAAAACAAGUUCUUUGCUUAGCUGCAGUUGACAGAAAGUCAGUCCACUUGAUCUGUGUCUUGGUGAUUGGUAACAAGUACAUUUUGCAUUACAUAAGUGGCUCCAAAUAUUUUGUUUUUCUGGUAUAGUAAACUUGAUCAGUAUAGCUCACCUAAAAACCUUUUUAGCGCCACUUAUUGGACAUUUAAUUUCCGAACUGCCAUAAUACUUACCACAACCAGCAUAAUACAAUGUUGCCAGAUAAACAGUCAUCUAUUUUGAAUAACACUUUUAGUGCAACUUACCAAACAUUUCAUGUUGAAUAUGUUGCAAAACAUGCAAGAAGCAAUGUACUUUAAUGUAAACAAGUCGAUGACUUCAUGAAAAUUGAGCUGCUGUUCUUAUAAUCUCUCCAAAGGAUAUUUAUGAGUGGCACAUAUAAAAACAGUAUUACUGAUCAAAUAAUUUGUAAAAUAAGAUAAUUCCCAACAGAAAUUAAAGCAGUAUUUAAUAUUUUUGUCACAUUUUUUCUCAAAUUCACAUAAAAAAAUGCACUGGUCAUAUGGAACAUUGUCAGAGAGGUUGCUUGUACUGUGUUUUCCCCUCCCUAGCAAGUCACUUUAAUGCAUCUAAUGGAUGCUAACAUGUCAAGUCUGUGCCUGAAAAAGUUAUUAAUGUGCAUGAAGGAACUGCAUGGUGAGUGUUUCCGUAUCUAAUCUAUUUAUGUAAAAGCACGUUUUUUGGAUCUCAAGCUGUAUUUUUAAGCUUUUGUCUCCUAUCAGACUUGAACCCACAGUGGUUGAACAGCUUGAGUGAAGUGCAACCUGAAGUUUCUUCAGAGAGGCCCUCAAAACACACAUCUGGCUCACAAGGAACUUCUCUGUGGUCACCGUCAAUGAUUUCACAGUUGAGAGCGAAAUGUCAGGAAACCCACACACAUCUCAGAGGCUGGAACCCCCACAUGAUUCUUCGUACCUGACUCAUAUCCUGUUGAAAGAACAAACUGUACAAAAUCUUGCAUUAUCAAACUCCCCAUAUGUGUCCUUUAUAAUAUUUAUACUUUAAUAAGAAAAUUCUUAAUAUUAUAAUUAAUAUUUAUUUUUGUAAUUUUGCUAUGUCCUUUUGAUCGUUUGUUUUAAAUAUUAAUGCAUAUAUUUAAUUCGUUUUUUAUUUCAGUUUUGUUUUAUUUCAGCGAAUAUUUUAUUUUGUUUCAACUUCAAUUUCUAGUUGGUUUAGUUUUAGUGAUAAUGACCCUGCUUAAUAGGCCUAUGUUGGAUUCUGACAAGCCAGUAUCUAUUCAUCUUGAUUCUCUCAGUUGUCUAAACACACACAUGUAUGCUAAACCAUAAGACCAUUCAGAGAAAGCAGGUCUUCAUGACUUAACAGCUGCUGGAAUAUGUUUGCUAUGGUAACCAAACACAGCAGUGUGUCAUCAGGCCCAUGUACAACAGCUCUCAGUGUGAGUGUGGCGAGCGUCGGCCUCCACCCUAUAACUGCACCUAGCAUGAGUCAGAAUUUCACACUCUUCUUCCUCAAAACUCUGAGCAGAACACUGUAUUAGUAAGUACUGUAACCACAGCCGCCAUUCUGCUGUUCAAAGUCAUGAAACUAGAAGUUGUUCAGCAGAUGGAUCUCAAAGAGACUAAUAACUUUCCUUCAAAAAUCAAUUUGUGAGGCAUAUCUGCUGCAGUAAUAUAUUAUGAAAUUAUCACACUUGCCAGCGAUUCAUCAAAGACAAAAAGCUAGUCCGUAAAAACUUCAGCUGUUGAGUUAAGCAAGCUGUUAAGCAUGUUAUGUCAGCUUGCAAUGAAAUAGUCCUAGGCCUGUCUUCAUGACGAGUCUUUAAAUUCUUUCAGAUGAUAAUUCAGCAUAAAAAAAAAAAUAAAAAAAAUACUGUGUAUGUUAUGAGAUGUUGUACUGUAUCAGUAUCACCUAUAUGGUUUCUUUGAUAUAUAUAAAAAAUAUCCUUGUUUAUUUAUUUCAUAGCAGUAUUGGGUUGUUGUUGAUUUCUGUACAGCAUUAAACAUUUUGUAAAUAAAACCCAUAAGAAAAAGUG